CGUAACGCGUAUGCAACCUACCCUGUACUGGAGGAUAGCCCGGAGAAAUCCGGAUUAAGACUCCAUAGUAAUUAUUAGCCGCAUGGUUUGAUAAUUUAAAGGUUACGGUACAGGAUGGGCAUGCGUCCCAUUAGCUAGAUGGUAAGGUAACGGCUUACCAUGGCAACGAUGGGUAGGGGGCCUGAGAGGGUGAUCCCCCACACUGGUACUGAGACACGGACCAGACUCC
rnacentral:rRNA from 1 species